rnacentral:rRNA from 1 species
CCUACGGGAGACAGCAGUGAGGAAUAUUGGUCAAUGGGCGUAAGCCUGAACCAGCCAAGUCGCGUGGGGGAUGAAGGUUCUAUGGUUGUAAACCCUCUUUUGUAAGGGAGCAAAUGGCGGUAUGUAUCGCAUAAGCAACGGCUAACUCCGUGCCAGCAGCCGCGGGCAUCCGGGGGGUGCCGGCGUUACUCGGAAUGACUGGGCGUAAAGGGGGGGUAGGCGGGAUAGCAGGUCAGGUGGGAAAUCCUAUGGCUUAACCAUAGAACUGCCGUUGAAACUGUCAUUCUAGAGUAUGGGAGAGGUAUGCGGAAUGCGUGGUGUAGCGGUAAAAUCCGUAGAGAUCAAGAAGAACUCUGAUUGCGAAGGCGGCCUGCCAGAGCACAACUGACGCUGAUGCGCGAAAGCGUGGGUAGCGAACAGGAUUAGAUACCCUAGUAGUC